rnacentral:lncRNA from 1 species
AUAUCAUGAUUGAUACUCACGAAGACAAAAGGGGAUAUCAUGAUUGAUACUCAUGAAGAUGAUUGGGACUAAGACAUGUUCUACUCCAUGCAUUUGAACAACAAGGCUAGGUAUGUUAGGUUUAUAGAGGAGGAGGUUCACUAGGGAGAUACAAUAAUAAUGAGAUCUGAGCUCAACCACAUAAGGGAUUGAUACCACUCUCUACCAAAAACCUUAAGACAAUGGGUUAAUGGGUCUUCACCUUUUAUGAUACUCCACUUUCUCAUUUCUACCAAAUGUGGGAGUUAGACUUAUACUUGGAAUUCUAACAAUCUCCCCCUUCAAGGUUGAUUCCCUUCCACAUUGGUACACUCCCACUCCAAUAGAACAUUUCCAACCACGACCCCG